GGAAAAUCCGAUGCCUGCCACCGC
rnacentral:rRNA from 1 species